UGCCCAACGAAAUGGAAAACAAGAGUGAA
rnacentral:piRNA from 1 species